rnacentral:rRNA from 1 species
UAACGCGUAGGUAACCUGCCUUGUAGCGGGGGAUAACUAUUGGAAACGAUAGCUAAUACCGCAUAACAAUGGAUGACCCAUGUCAUUUAUUUGAAAGGGGCAAAUGCUCCACUACAAGAUGGACCUGCGUUGUAUUAGCUAGUAGGUGAGGUAACGGCUCACCUAGGCGACGAUACAUAGCCGACCUGAGAGGGUGAUCGGCCACACUGGGACUGAGACACGGCCCAG